GUAACGCGUGGGUAACCUGCCUCACACUGGGGGACGAACAGCUGGAAACGGCUGCUAAUACCGCAUAAGCGCACAGCUUCGCAUGGAGCAGUGUGAAAAACUCCGGUGGUGUGAGAUGGACCCGCGUCUGAUUAGCUAGUUGGUAAGGUAACGGCUUACCAAGGCGACGAUCAGUAGCCGACCUGAGAGGGUGACCGGCCACAUUGGGACUGAGACACGGCCCAAACUCCUACGGGAGGCAGCAUG
rnacentral:rRNA from 1 species